rnacentral:rRNA from 1 species
AGCGAACGCUGGCGGCGUGCCUAACACAUGCCAGUCGAACGUGAAAAGGGAAACCUGAGUAAAGUGGCGUACGGGUGAGUAACGCGUAGGUAAUCUACCCCAGAAUCUGGAAUAACCUGCCGAAAGGCGGGCUAAUACUGGAUAGAGCGAGGGAACUCGUAAGAGAGUUUUUCGGGAAAGGGAGCCCGCAAGGGCCUUCGUUCUGGGAUGAGCCUGCGUCUCAUUAGCUAGUUGGUAAGGUAACGGCUUACCAAGGCGAUGAUGAGUAGCUGGUCUGAGAGGAUGAUCAGCCACACUGGAACGGAAACACGGUCCAGACUCCUACGGGAGGCAGCAGUGGGGAAUCUUGCGCAAUGGACGAAAGUCUGACGCAGCCACGCCGCGUGAGUGAAGAAGGCCUUCGGGUUGUAAAGCUCUGUCGGAUGGGACGAACAUCUUCAUAGUGAAUAGCUAUGAGGACUGACGGUACCAUCAAAGGAAGCACCGGCUAACUCCGUG